rnacentral:rRNA from 1 species
GAUGAACGCUAGCUACAGGCUUAACACAUGCAAGUCGAGGGGCAGCAUGGGCUUAGCUUGCUAAGCCCGAUGGCGACCGGCGCACGGGUGAGUAACACGUAUCCAACCUUCCGGUAACUCUGGUAUAGCCUUUCGAAAGAAAGAUUAAUCCCGGAUGGCAUGGCGAUUCCGCAUGGUUUCUCCAUUAAAGGUUUUUCCGGUAAUCGAUAGGGAUGCGUUCCACUAGGCAGUUGGUGGGGUAACGGCCCACCAAACCUACGAUGGAUAGGGGUUCUGAGAGGAAGGUCCCCCACAUUGGAACUGAGACACGGUCCAA